CCUACGGGAGGCAGCAGUGAGGAAUAUUGGUCAAUGGGAGAGAUCCUGAACCAGCCAAGCCGCGUGAGGGAAGACGGCCCUAUGGGUUGUAAACCUCUUUUGUCGGAGGACAAAACCCUGGACGUGUCCCGGACUGCGUGUAUCCGAAGAAAAAGCAUCGGCUAACUCCGUGCCAGCAGCCGCGGUAAUACGGGGGAUGCGAGCGUUAUCCUGAUUUAUUGGGUUUAAAGGGUGCGUAGGCGGUCCGUUAAGUCAGCGGUAAAAUUGCGGGGCGCAACCUCGUCGAGCCGUUGAAACUGGCAGACUAGAGUUGGCGAGAGGGACGCGGAAUGCGAGGUGUAGCGGUGAAAUGCAUAGAUAUCGGGCAGAACUCCGAAUGCGAAGGCAGCGUACCGGCGCCAGACUGACGCUGAGGCACGAAAGCGUGGGGAUCGAACAGGAUUAGAUACCCGGGUAGUC
rnacentral:rRNA from 1 species